UUUAUGGAGAGUUUGAUCCUGGCUCAGAGUGAACGCUGGCGGCGUGCCUAAUACAUGCAAGUCGAACGAUGAAGCUUCUAGCUUGCUAGAAGUGGAUUAGUGGCGCACGGGUGAGUAAUGCAUAGGUUAUGUGCCCUUUAGUCUGGGAUAGCCACUGGAAACGGUGAUUAAUACUGGAUACUCCCUACGGGGGAAAGUAGCACUCAAUAAAGAAUUCUCUUGUAAUCUAACUAGAAUCCACUUUUGCCAUAGAGGUCUGUAAUGGAUUGAAAUCUAUGAGAAAGUGUAAAUUCUAAGAUUUUGAGAGUAUUUUUGUAGUUUUCAAGCACAAUGCGAAGGAGUUGCCUUAAGCGGUAAUGACUGAAGCAUUGUGUGUAGAAUCCGCAAAAAUACUCCAAAAGCUGAAUUUAAGAUGAAUUUUUUAUUGAGUGCUCUCGCUAAAGGAUCAGCCUAUGUCCUAUCAGCUUGUUGGUGAGGUAAUGGCUCACCAAGGCUAUGACGGGUAUCCGGCCUGAGAGGGUGAUCGGACACACUGGAACUGAGACACGGUCCAGACUCCUACGGGAGGCAGCAGUAGGGAAUAUUGCUCAAUGGGGGAAACCCUGAAGCAGCAACGCCGCGUGGAGGAUGAAGGUUUUAGGAUUGUAAACUCCUUUUGUAAGAGAAGAUUAUGACGGUAUCUUACGAAUAAGCACCGGCUAACUCCGUGCCAGCAGCCGCGGUAAUACGGAGGGUGCAAGCGUUACUCGGAAUCACUGGGCGUAAAGAGCGCGUAGGCGGGAAAGUAAGUCAGAUGUGAAAUCCUGUAGCUUAACUACAGAACUGCAUUUGAAACUACUUUUCUAGAGUAUGGGAGAGGUAGGUGGAAUUCUUGGUGUAGGGGUAAAAUCCGUAGAGAUCAAGAGGAAUACUCAUUGCGAAGGCGACCUGCUGGAACAUUACUGACGCUGAUGCGCGAAAGCGUGGGGAGCAAACAGGAUUAGAUACCCUGGUAGUCCACGCCCUAAACGAUGAAUGCUAGUUGUUGCCCUGCUUGUCAGGGCAGUAAUGCAGCUAACGCAUUAAGCAUUCCGCCUGGGGAGUACGGUCGCAAGAUUAAAACUCAAAGGAAUAGACGGGGACCCGCACAAGCGGUGGAGCAUGUGGUUUAAUUCGAAGAUACGCGAAGAACCUUACCUAGGCUUGACAUUGAUAGAAUCUGCUAGAGAUAGCGGAGUGUCUAGCUUGCUAGACCUUGAAAACAGGUGCUGCACGGCUGUCGUCAGCUCGUGUCGUGAGAUGUUGGGUUAAGUCCCGCAACGAGCGCAACCCUCGUCCUUAGUUGCUAGCAGUUCGGCUGAGCACUCUAAGGAGACUGCCUUCGUAAGGAGGAGGAAGGUGAGGACGACGUCAAGUCAUCAUGGCCCUUACGCCUAGGGCUACACACGUGCUACAAUGGGGCAUACAAUGAGACGCAAUACCGCGAGGUGGAGCAAAUCUCUAAAAUGUCUCUCAGUUCGGAUUGUAGUCUGCAACUCGACUACAUAAAGCUGGAAUCGCUAGUAAUCGUGAAUCAGCAAUGUCACGGUGAAUACGUUCCCGGGUCUUGUACUCACCGCCCGUCACACCAUGGGAGUUGUAUUCGCCUUAAGUCGGGAUACUAAAUUGGUUACCGCCCACGGCGGAUGCAGCGACUGGGGUGAAGUCGUAACAAGGUAACCGUAGGUGAACCUGCGGUUGGAUCACCUCCUUU
rnacentral:rRNA from 1 species